rnacentral:tRNA from 1 species
UGCCCGGUGGUGUAAUGGUAGCACAGCAGAUUUUGAUUCUGCUUGACUAGGUUCGAGUCCUAGCCGGGUAA